rnacentral:rRNA from 1 species
GACGAACGCUGGCGGCGUGCCUAAUACAUGCAAGUCGAACGCAGUGGGUACGGGGGAGUAACACGUGGGUAACCUCCCAUCAGAGGGGAUAACACUUGGAAACAGGUGCUAAACCGAUACUGAUGGAUGGACCCGGUGUGCAUUAGCUAGUUGGUGAGGUAACGGCGCACCAGGGCCACGAUGCAUAGCGGACCUGGUGGGGUGAUCGGCCACCCGGGGACUGGGAAACGGCCAAGACUCCUACGGGAGGAAGAAGUAGGAAAGUUUCGGCAAUGGAGGAAAGUCUGACCGAGCAACGCGGCGGGAGUGAAGAAGGUUUUCGGAUGGUAAAACUCUGUUGUUAGAGAAGCGGUAUCUAACCAGAAAGCCACGGCUAACUACGUGCCAGCAGCCGCGGUAAUUC